UGGGGAAUAUUGCGCAAUGGCCGCAAGGCUGACGCAGCGACGCCGCGUGUGGGAUGACGGCCUUCGGGUUGUAAACCACUGUUGGGAGGGACGAAUGCCCCGCAAGGGGAUUGACGGUACCUCCAGAGGAAGCACCGGCUAACUCCGUGCCAGCAGCCGCGGUAAUACGGAGGGUGCGAGCGUUGUCCGGAAUCACUGGGCGUAAAGGGCGCGUAGGCGGCGCGAUAAGUCGGAUGUGAAAUCCCGGGGCUCAACUCCGGGGCUGCAUCCGAGACUGUCGUGCUCGAGCGUGGUAGAGGCGAGUGGAAUUCCCGGUGUAGCGGUGGAAUGCGUAGAGAUCGGGAAGAACACCAGUGGCGAAGGCGGCUCGCUGGGCCAUUGCUGACGCUGAGGCGCGAAAGCGUGGGGAGCGAAACAGGAUUAGAUACCCUGGUAGUCCACGCCGUAAACGAUGGGCACUAGGCGCCGGGGGGAGCGACCCUCUCGGUGCCGUCGCUAACG
rnacentral:rRNA from 1 species